UACAGAGGUCUCAAGCGUUGUUCGGAUUCAUUGGGCGUAAAGGGUGCGUAGGUGGCAUGGUAAGUUGAAGGUGAAAUCUCGGGGCUCAACUCCGAAACUGCCUUCAAUACUGCUGUGCUCGAGGACUGUAGAGGAGAAUGGAAUUCACGGUGUAGCAGUGAAAUGCGUAGAUAUCGUGAGGAAGACCAGUGGCGAAGGCGAUUCUCUGGGCAGUUCCUGACGCUGAGGCACGAAGGCCAGGGGAGCAAACGGG
rnacentral:rRNA from 1 species